UACAGAGGUCUCAAGCGUUGUUCGGAUUCAUUGGGCGUAAAGAGCGUGUAGGCGGCCCGGUAAGUCCGCUGUGAAAGUCGGGGGCUCAACCCUCGAAAGCCGGUGGAUACUGUCGGGCUUGAGUGUGGCAGAGGGGGGUGGAAUUCCGCGUGUAGCAGUGAAAUGCGUAGAGAUGCGGAGGAACACCGAUGGCGAAGGCAGCCCCCUGGGCCAACACUGACGCUCAGGCACGAAAGCGUGGGGAGCAAACAGG
rnacentral:rRNA from 1 species